AAGACUGUAGCAUAAUUGGUUAAUGCAUUCUGCUCAUAAUAGAAGGGUUUUGGGUUCGAUUCCCAACGGUCUUA